rnacentral:rRNA from 1 species
AUAACGACUCUCGGCAACGGAUAUCUCGGCUCUUGCAUCGAUGAAGAACGUAGCGAAAUGCGAUACUUGGUGUGAAUUGCAGAAUCCCGUGAACCAUCGAGUCUUUGAACGCAAGUUGCGCCCGAAGCCAUUAGGCUGAGGGCACGCCUGCCUGGGCGUCUCACA